GCAUAAAACUAAUGAGUGAAU
rnacentral:miRNA from 1 species